rnacentral:lncRNA from 1 species
GGCCCCGCCCCCGCUCCUGUCACUCAACCCUUCCCGGGCUCCGAGAGGAUCGCAGAUCUCCGACCCUACGCUCCCUGCGGCCUCAUUGGCCCGCCGGGCCUCCAGCCCCGCCCCCUCCCUAGGGACGAAGUCGCCGGGGAGACCAGCGCCCCGGUUCCUAUGACAACCGGUGCCUUAGGCCUGGCUUUUGCGUUCUGCUGGCCAGCCCCUCGUCCAGGUGGAUGGCCCGGCAGCAAAGUUCUUAGCCCCUGCAGCGUGGGCUCCUAAUUUCACGCCAAGUUAAAAAUGCAGCCGAUCGCCCCCACACUUCCAACUUCAGAAACAGAACUUUUUGGCCCUGGGGUGUGCCAAGGAGAGUGAAGAAUGCCUAACUGCUGGCUCUUCCCCCUUAUCAAUCUAAAUAACCCGUCCUCCCCGGUGCUCUCGCCUGCCUCCAGGAUUCGGGCUUUGAAAGGGUGAGAAGGGGAGAGAGAGACGGACAGAGAGACAGAGAGAGAAAGAAAGAGAGAGAAGCGGUGCCAACCCCCUGCAACAAUAUAGCACCUUGGAAAUGGCGGGGUCAACGAAAACAGCUCGGUCCAGGCCAAAGCAGCCCGACUGUGAAGCCCUGUGAAGAGGAGUAUUCCUGGGUUAACUCAGCGGACAGUUGUUAUGCACUGCGUUUUUCUUUCUCUCCUCUACCAAGUCCCCACUCUGAGCUCCACUCAAAUGUGUUUCUAACCAAACUGUCCAAGUUGCAUGGGGCUGGGGGAUGGGAAAUUGACGGAAGAAAGAAAGGUGGAGAGGUUUAAUUAUUUACAAAAUUCUAAGCUCCUUAGCUUUCCAUUAAAAUCUUGUUGAAAAAAUUUGAUUUCAGGCCAGCCCCAGUGGCCUGGUGGUUAAGUUCAGCGUGCUCCACUGUGGCGGCCCAGAUUCAGUUCCCACGUGCAGACCUACACCACUUGUCAGCCAUGCUGUGGCCGUGAGCCACAUCCAAAAUAGAGGAAGAUUGGCAGCAGAUGUUAGCUCAGGGCGACUCUGCCUCAGAAAAGCAAAUAAUAAUUUGAUUUCAAUGUGGUUCGUUAGGCUUUUAGCAUUUGUUUUAUGAUCUUUGACUAUAUCAAGAAUGAUUUUUUUAAAUAUAAGAAAUUUAAAUCUUUGAGAAAGCAGCAUAUUAUUUAAAUUUUAAGUAAUUACUAUUUAGCAGUAUAGAAAAUGAUACAAAAUUUAGCCAAUUAAAACCACUGAUUUAUUUUUAUUUAUUUUAUUUUUCGGGUGGAAUUAACAAUUUUUUUAAUGAUUAUAAAACAUAAUGAUGCAUUUUAUGAUAGAAAAUUGGUAA